rnacentral:rRNA from 1 species
GAUGAACGCUGGCGGCGUGCCUAAUACAUGCAAGUCGAGCGAACGGACGAGAAGCUUGCUUUUCUGAUGUUAGCGGCGGACGGGUGAGUAACACGUGGAUAACCUACCUAUAAGACUGGGAUAACUUCGGGAAACCGGAGCUAAUACCGGAUAAUAUUUUGAACCGCAUGGUUCAAAAGUGAAAGACGGUCUUGCUGUCACUUAUAGAUGGAUCCGCGCUGCAUUAGCUAGUUGGUAAGGUAACGGCUUACCAAGGCAACGAUGCAUAGCCGACCUGAGAGGGUGAUCGGCCACACUGGAACGUGGACACGGUCCAGACUCCUACGGGAGGCAGCAGUAGGGAAUCUUCCGCAAUGGGCGAAAGCCUUACGGAGCAACGCCGCGUGAGUUAUGAAGGUCUUCGGAUCGUAAAACUCUGUUAUUAGGGAAGAACAUAUUUGUAAGUAACUGUGCACAUCUUGACGGUACCUAAUCAGAAAGCCACGGCUAACUACGUG